rnacentral:rRNA from 1 species
AUUGAACGCUGGCGGCGUGCCUAACACAUGCAAGUCGAGCGGCAGCGCGGGAGCAAUCCUGGCGGCGAGCGGCGAACGGGUGAGUAAUGCUUCGGAAUCUGCCCAUGUAGUGGGGAAUAACCAGCCGAAAGGUUGGCUAAUACCGCAUACGACCUACGGGUGAAAGCAGGGGAUCGCAAGACCUUGCGCUAUUGGAUGAGCCGAAGUCGGAUUAGCUAGUGGUGGGGUAACGGCCUACCAAGGCGACGAUCCGUAGCUGGUCUGAGAGGACGACCAGCCACACUGGGACUGAGACACGGCCCAGACUCCUACGGGAGGCAGCAGUGGGGAAUAUUGGACAAUGGGGGCAACCCUGAUCCAGCGACGCCGCGUGUGUGAAGAAGGCCUGCGGGUUGUAAAGCAC